GGAUCCAGAGUACCGCGGGACACGAGAAAUCCUGUGGGAAGCAGGGGGGACCACCCCCCAAGCCUAAAAACGAUCAGUGACCGAUAGCGCAUAGUACCGUGAGGGAAAGGUGAAAAGAACCCCGGGAGGGGAGUGAAAGAGAACCUGAAACCCUGUGUUUACAAGCAGAAGAAGAACGAUUAAGGUUCGACUUCGUACUUUUUGUAGAACGGACCGGCGAGUUGCGUUAUGCUGCGAGGUUAAGGUCUUCAGGACCGGAGCCGAAGCGAAAGCGAGUCUGAAAAGGGCGAAAAGUUGCAUGACGCAGACCCGAAACCGGGCGACCUAUCCAUGGGCAGGUUGAAGUGAAGGUAAAGCUUCAUGGAGGACCGAACCAGACGUCAUCUGAAAAUGGCGGGGAUGACCUGUGGAUAGCGGAGAAAUUCCAAUCGAGCUCGGAUAUAGCUGGUUCUCCUCGAAAUAGCUUUAGGGCUAGCCUGAGGUUAAUCUGUUGGGGGUAGAGCACUGAAUGGGCUAGGGGGUCUCAAAGCUUACUGAACCCUAUCAAACUCCGAAUACCAGACAGAUGAUGCCUUGGAGUCAGACUGCGAGUUAUAAGAUCCGUAGUCAAAAGGGAAACAGCCCAGAUCGACAGCUAAGGUCCCAAAGUGUGUGUUAAGUGGAAAAGGAUGUGCAAUUGCAUAGACAACCAGGAUGUUGGCUUAGAAGCAGCCACACAUUCAAAGAGUGCGUAAUAGCUCACUGGUCGAGUGAUUGUGCGCCGAAGAUGUCCGGGGCUAAAACACACCACCGAAGCUUCGGGUUGCAGGAAACUGCAGCGGUAGAGGAGCAUAGUGCAUUGGCAGAAGCCAGACCGGAAGGACUGGUGGACGAUGCAGUAGAGAGAAUGCCGGUAUGAGUAACGAGAUGUGUGCGAGAAACACACACGUCGAAAGCCCAAGGUUUCCUGGGGAAGGUUCAUCCGCCCAGGGUAAGUCGGGGCCUAAGCCGAGGACAAAAGUCGUAGGCGAUGGAUAACUGGUGGAGAUUCCAGUACCACCUUUAUGAGCGAAGCACUGACACAGAAGGAUAGCGUGAGCAGGUUGAUGGUAGAGCCUGUCCAAGCGGUUAGGUGAUUCGGUAGUGAAGUACGCCGAUGUUAGCUGAGCCGUGAUGGGGAGCGAAAUAAGAGUAGCGAAGCACGUGAAUCCCCGCUGGCAAGAAAAGGUGCUAGUAUUAUUGUAAGGGUGCCCGUACCGCANACCGACGCAGGUGGGCGAGGAGAGAAUCCUAAGACGAACGAGAGAACCCUUGUUAAGGAACUCGGCAAAAUGACCUCGUAACUUCGGGAGAAGAGGUGCCUGGAAACAGGCCGCAGAGAAUAGGCCCAAGCGACUGUUUAGCNAAACACAGGUUUGUGCGAAAGCGAGAGCUGACGUAUACGAGCUGACGCCUGCCCGGUGCUGGAAGGUUAAGAAGGAGUUGUCAGGAAACGAAGCAGCGAAUCGAAGCCCCAGUAAACGGCGGCCGUAACUAUAACGGUCCUAAGGUAGCGAAAUUCUUUGUCGGGUAAGUUCGACCCGCACGAAUGGCGUAACGACUUGGGCACUGUCU
rnacentral:rRNA from 1 species